AUUGAACGCUGGCGGUAGGCCUAACACAUGCAAGUCGAACGCGAAAGUCCUUCGGGAUGAGUAGAGUGGCGGACGGGUGAGUAACGCGUAGGAAUCUAUCCUGUAGUGGGGGAUAACGUUUCGAAAGGAACGCUAAUACCGCAUACGCCCCAAGGGGGAAAGCGGGGGAUCUUCGGACCUAGUGCUAUCGGCGGCGCCUGCGUCGGAUUGGCUAGUUGGUGAGGUAAAGGCUCACCAAGGCGACGAUCCGUAGCUGGUCUGAGAGGAUGAUCAGCCACACCGGAACUGAGACACGGUCCGGACUCCUACGGGAGGCAGCAGUGGGGAAUAUUGCGCAAUGGGCGAAAGCCUGACGCAGCCAUACCGCGUGUGUGAAGAAGGCCUUCGGGUUGUAAAGCACUUUCAGUGGGGAGGAAAAGCUGGUGGCUAAUAUCCAUCGGCCGUGACGCUACCCACAGAAGAAGCACCGGCUAAUUCCGUGCCAGCAGCCGCCGUAACAC
rnacentral:rRNA from 1 species